UAAAUACUUCCUUCGUCCGAAAAUACUUAUCAUUGAAAUAGAUGUAUUUUAGUUCUAGAUACAUCCAUUUUCAUCCAUUUUGAUGACAAAUAAUUCCGGACGGAGAGAGUACCUU
rnacentral:pre_miRNA from 1 species